GUGGCUUUCAAGUUGUCAAAGAGAAAACUUGAUGACAACCUGCAUAUGCUUCAUACUUUACUGUUUGGAAAGAAAACAAAGGCACACAAUUUAAAGAGAAAUAUAGGCCAAUUUUCUGGUUAUGUGUGGACUGAAAAUGAGGACAAACAGAGGGCCAAGAUAAAGGAGAAGUUUGACAAAUUUGUCAAAGAAAAGUUGUUGGACUUUUGUGAUGUUCUUAAUAUUCAAAUAAACAAGACCAAUGUGAAGAAGG